AUACGGAGGGUGCAAGCGUUGUCCGGAUUUAUUGGGUUUAAAGGGUGCGUAGGUGGUUUUUUAAGUCAGUGGUGAAAGCCUACAGCUUAACUGUAGAGGUGCCAUUGAUACUGGGGAACUUGAGUAUGGACGAGGUAGGCGGAAUUUGUGGUGUAGCGGUGAAAUGCAUAGAUACCACAAGGAACACCGAUAGCGAAGGCAGCUUACUGGGCCAUAACUGACACUGAGGCGCGAAAGCGUGGGGAGCGAACAGGAUUAGAAACCCCUGUAGUCC
rnacentral:rRNA from 1 species